AAGACGGGCAGCGAGAAAGGCAGACUAGGCGUACGCAACGACAGAGCAGCAAACCAGAGCAAGCCCAUAGCUCCUAACCAACCUGUACAAAGAUGGUUCUUUGCGAUACGCCGACGACAGUGUUGAUACUGGGAAUUGUCUGUUCCAUCGUCAAUUUAGGCAUCGUUGCGCAUCUGUACCCUGACAUGAAAAAGA